GAUGAACGCUAGCGGGAGGCCUAACACAUGCAAGCCGAGCGGUAUGGAUAGCUUGCUAUCCAGAGAGCGGCGUACGGGUGCGUAACACGUGCGCAACCUACCUUUAUCUGGGGGAUAGCCUUUCGAAAGGAAGAUUAAUACUCCAUAAUAUAAUGAUUGUCAUCCAUUAUUAUUGAAAACUCCGGUGGAUAGUGAUGGGCACGCGCAAGAUUAGAUAGUUGGUGAGGUAACGGCUCACCAAGUCAAUGAUCUUUAGGGGUCCUGAGAGGGAGAUCCCCCACACUGGUAAUGAGACACGGACCAGAAUGCUACGGAGGGCAGCAGUGAGGAAUAUUAGGCGAGGAGUGAGGGCCUGAUCCAGCCGUCCCGCGUAAGGGAUGACGGUCCUAGGGAUUGUAAACUUCUUUUGAACAGGGAUAAACCUACCAACGUGGGGGUAGCUGAAGGUACUGUACGAAUAAGCACCGGCUAACUCCGUG
rnacentral:rRNA from 1 species